GGGACGAUAAUGACGGUACCUGGAGAAUAAGCACCGGCUAACUUCGUGCCAGCAGCCGCGGUAAUACGAAGGGUGCAAGCGUUACUCGGAAUUACUGGGCGUAAAGCGUGCGUAGGCGGUUCGUUAAGUCCGAUGUGAGAGCCCUGGGCUCAACCUGGGAACUGCAUUGGAAACUGGCGGGCUGGAGUGCGGUAGAGGGUGGCGGAAUUCCCGGUGUAGCAGUGAAAUGCGUAGAUAUCGGGAGGAACACCCGUGGCGAAGGCGGCCACCUGGACCAGCACUGACGCUGAGGCACGAAAGCGUGGGGAGCAAACAGGAUUAGAUACCCUGGUAGUCCACGCCCUAAACGAUGCGAACUGGAUGUUGGGUGCAACUUGGCACUCAGUAUCGAAGCUAACGCGUUAAGUUCGCCGCCUGGGAAGUACGGUCGCAAGACUGAAACUCAAAGGAAUUGACGGGGGCCCGCACAAGCGGUGGAGUAUGUGGUUUAAUUCGAUGCAACGCGCAGAACCUUACCAGCUCUUGACA
rnacentral:rRNA from 1 species